ensembl:lncRNA
AAGAAUAGAGGUUGACCAUCAGGGAUUUUAUUUUCCAUACUUGAAGACUUAAGUUACUUCUACCAAACAGAGAGAAGUGGUCAUAAUAGAUAAAGAUGGAUAACUGGUCGCAGGUAUAUUUAUUCUAGGGUCUAAAGGUUGUUCAGUCUGCUGUAGCAGUGAGUACCUGGGGAGAUGUCAAUUUCUCAGAUUAGAGGAGUUCCAUAUAAUUGGAUCCUGAAAAUUGGUUUUAGAGAUUUAGAAAUAUAUAAAGGAGUCAUUUUAAUUUUGAUAUUCUUGCACAGACUAUGAGUCAGAAAUCCUCAAGUUAAAUCUGCCAGAGUUCUUUGGUUAUUAAAUUUCAUGUUUUGGAGAAUAAGAUAUGUGUCACCUAUUCAUGGUAAUGAGGAGAGAAGAAGAAGGAAUUUCCACAGAGACUUCAUGUGUGCUCAAACAGCAGACUCUAUCUUGGUGCCAGGAGAAAAUGAAAUGUUAUUCACGCCUCUCCUGCCGGAACUCACCAAUGGACGCAACUUCUUCCCAGUACACUGUGAAAGCAUUCAAACGCCACGCUGAUUGUUCCCCCUGUGGUCACAACAGAAACUUGUUUGUUUUCUCUCAAAUUUAUUUGGAAAGGAUGUUGUUACAGCAAUGCUGUUUGAAUUAUUAUAGCUAACCUUUUCCAGUGUACAUGUCCAGAGGCAUAAUUGGAUUCCCAAAAUGAACUCCAUUGACAACAGCUACAGAAGGAUGCUUCAGCUUGUUUAUUCUUAAAAUUAAUGUUGCUUUCAUCCCUUCUCUCCCCAUGCUUCUCUCUGUCUCUCUCUCUCUCUCUGGCUUGCUCACUUGCUCCCUCAAAAAUCCACUAAGUAAGUAAGACUUAGUGAAUAGCAGAACUCUUAAUUAUUUGCAAAAAAUAAUAGCUUCAGCAGUCGAGAUGUGGUGACGAAACCGACCCCAGUCCCUGCCCUUCCCUUGUCACACUGCGUUUACCUGAGCCAUGUGUUUAGUCGGGCAGCAGAAUCCCUAUAUUUCUCACUGUUGUAUGGUCACUAUCCCUUGUGACCUCUCAGAUAAAAUUUAGUGGCAUCAAGCUCUGGUAGCCACUUCUGCUCCUGGAGCAUCGUUAUUCUUACAAAUUGUACAUCAUUAUACUUUUAUGGGAAGGCUAUUAUACCUUGUAAAUAGUACAAGCCCAGCAGCUGGCCCAGCAGGCUGCACGGGGGCAUUGCCAGCUGCCUGGACAGGAGGCUCAAGAGAAAACCAGCCCUCUGCCCUGAAGUGCGCAUACCUGGUAGCGGAAGGACAGGUGCUGAUCACUUUGGGAGGUUGAGUACUUGGGGUGGAGAAAGCCCUCGUUUGGAAAGCCCAUGGGUACAGAUUACCUUCCAACUCUGCCACUGAUGAGCUUGAGCACAUUCCUUGACCUCAGCACAUUAACUUCUUGAGCUUUAAAAGGGAGAUGAUAUUCCAGCCUCACUGGGAUGGGAAAUGUUGUAGCCAUUUUGGAAAACCAGUCUGGCAGCAUCUAUUGAAAUUAAAAAUCUGUGCAUUCUUAAAACCAGAAACCUCACUUUUGGAAUCUAUCCCAUAGAAAUAAAAGCUCCAGUGCACAAGGCUGUGUGUGCUCG